rnacentral:rRNA from 1 species
UACGUAGGUGGCGAGCGUUGUCCGGAUUUACUGGGCGUAAAGGGAGCGUAGGCGGACUUUUAAGUGAGAUGUGAAAUACCCGGGCUCAACUUGGGUGCUGCAUUUCAAACUGGAAGUCUAGAGUGCAGGAGAGGAGAAUGGAAUUCCUAGUGUAGCGGUGAAAUGCGUAGAGAUUAGGAAGAACACCAGUGGCGAAGGCGAUUCUCUGGACUGUAACUGACGCUGAGGCUCGAAAGCGUGGGGAGCAAACAGGAUUAGAUACCCU